UACAGAGGGGGGCAAGCGUUGUUCGGAAUUACUGGGCGUAAAGGGCGCGUAGGCGCCUUCUAAGUCGAACGUGAAAUCCCCGGGCUCAACCCGGGAACUGCGUCCGAUACUGGAAGGCUUGAAUCCGGGAGAGGGAUGUGGAAUUCCAGGUGUAGCGGUGAAAUGCGUAGAUAUCUGGAGGAACACCGGUGGCGAAGGCGACAUCCUGGACCGGUAUUGACGCUGAGGCGCGAAAGCCAGGGGAGCAAAGCGGG
rnacentral:rRNA from 1 species